rnacentral:rRNA from 1 species
AAUUUUUCGCAAUGGGGGAAACCCUGACGAAGCAACGCCGCGUGGAGGAUGAAGGCCUUCGGGUUGUAAACUCCUGUCGACCGGGACGAAAGUAGUCCGACCCAAUACGUCGGGCUAUCGACUGUACCGGUGGAGGAAGCCACGGCUAACUCUGUGCCAGCAGCCGCGGUAAUACAGAGGUGGCAAGCGUUGUUCGGAAUCACUGGGCGUAAAGGGCGCGUAGGUGGUCCUUUAAGCGUGUGGUGAAAGCUCGGGGCUCAACCUCGAGUCGGCCAUGCGAACUGGGGGACUGGAGCACUGUAGAGGCAGGUGGAAUUCCGGGUGUAGCGGUGGAAUGCGUAGAGAUCCGGAAGAACACCGGUGGCGAAGGCGGCCUGCUGGGCAGUUGCUGACACUGAGGCGCGACAGCGUGGGGAGCAAAC